rnacentral:tRNA from 1 species
GGAGGCGUAGCUCAAUUGGCAGAGCCCUCGACGCUUCCUCGAGACCGCGUAGGUUCGACCCCUACCGCCUUCACCA